UAACCUACGGGGCGCAGCAGUGGGGAAUAUUGCACAAUGGGGGGAACCCUGAUGCAGCAAUGCCGCGUGGGUGAAGAAGCACUCCGGUGCGUAAAGCCCUGUCAGCAGGGAAGAAAAUGACAGUACCUGGACAAGAAGCCCCGGCUAACUACGUGCCAGCAGCCGCGGUAAUACGUAGGGGGCAAGCGUUAUCCGGAUUUACUGGGUGUAAAGGGAGCGCAGGCGGCGUGGCAAGUCAGAUGUGAAAACCCGGGGCCCAACCCCGGGAGUGCAAUUGAAAAUGCCCUGCUUGAGGGCCGGAGGGG
rnacentral:rRNA from 1 species